rnacentral:hammerhead_ribozyme from 1 species
GCACUGCUGAGCAGUCCCACAAUAGGACGAAACGACCUUUCAGUGC